GCGAUUCUCCUGCCUCAGCCUCCCAAGUAGCUGGGAUUACAGAACUGACUGGGAGAACCCAGCAAGGCUGGUCUGGUGUUCAGAUUCUUCCUGGCCUCUGUGCAGCCUCCUUCCUUCUGGGUAAAGGAGCAAGACCCUCUGUGGAAUGAGGUCUUAUGAACUACACUCAAGCAAGAAGUAUGUCUUAUCUGAUGGCUUCACAGUAAUCUGGUUUCCCCUAAGAAGCUAAGACUAUCUGGGCUAUUUGAGAUCCUGCAAGAUUUAUCAAGACUGUACUAGCCAUAUGAAAGCAUGUUAACACAGGGAGGGAGAGAGGAAAAGCCCUCCACAUGUUAUGACUGGCAUACAUGCUUCCAAAGCAUCGUUACUAACCGAAGGCCCAGUUCCUGAGGCGAUCACCCCAGACACACUGAAUGCAAUUUGUUGGUCACUGAGUGGGUAUACCUAAUCACCACAGAUGUUUACAUGCAGCUGCAUUUUCUCUCCGUUUGAGUCACAAUGUUUUAUAUGUAAAUAGUAUUGUGUGCAUGUGUGUGCAUAUGUGUAUUUAUCCUCCAAGUCCAGAUGGAGUUAAUUUUCUGCUGUUAUUUGUAGUUCAUGUUUCAUAUCUAAGAAACUAAGGACCCAGAUGAGCUUUCCUUGGUGUCACAAACUUUUUUUUUUUUUUUUUAAUAGAGAUGAGGUCUCACUAUAUUGCCCAGGCUGGUCUCCAACUCCUGAGCUCAAGUGAUCUUCCUGCCUUAGCCUCUCCAAGUGCUGGGAUUACAGAUGUGAGCCACUGCACCUGGCCAACAAACUUCUGAUUCUUAUAGAAUCAGAUGUAAUUCCUUAGAGACCUGAGAAGUUCUAUACUCAGGUUCUUUCGUGCCGUCUGACUCCAAGAGCUCUUGCCUGAAGGAGGUCCCUUCCAGGACACUGAGUCCCAACCCACACCACCUCCUUGGAGGGCGUGUGCCCUCUCUUCCGCUGACCUUGACAUUCUUGCACAGGCUGCUUGUGCACAGAGGCAUCACCUCCCAGAGGGGACCUCUGGAGUGGCCCCAGGUACCAGGUACAGUCAGCCGCUUCUACCUGUGGAAGGCGAUCAGGGUAGAAAGCUCUGGGAAGCACUAAAAAUACACACAACCCUUACAAACACAACUCGGUGAUACAUGCUAAUAGUUCUGGACUCCAAACUGGGGCCAAAGCACAGACUCCACAGCUAGUUCUAGCAUGUAGCAGAUGUCACCCAACCUGGAAAGCUACUUGGUUGAAACUUAGUUAAAUCCGUGGCCACAGCAGUUUUAUACUUGACCUGAGUCCUCCAAUGUCUGCCACACCUGCAGUGGCUUCCUUCCCAUUCUCUCUCUCCUCUAAAAUACAAGAGGCAUUUCCCCCCAGUGCAGGAAGAUGGAACAGACUAUUUUGGUUAAUCAUCUACAUUUGUGUUCUUGAGUUUCUUCUGGAGUUGUCCAGCCUGGGGCUGCAUGCACAUUGGCCCACCACAAAUGCCUCCCUCUGCGGAGAGUGAGGUGGGCCGGUCGGGGCAGAACGCCUGCUUCUCAAUGCACCCCUUGCUCACUCAGCUCUGGGAGCCCCCCUGCCAGCGUGCCCGAGAGCUACUCUAAAUGAAGUUCGAGCUCCAUUUCAGGAAGGUGGUGAGACAAUAAAAUAACCCAGGAUGACGUGAACAGUUUUGCAUUUGCUUCAAACUCUGAAAGGAUUCAUGGUUCCCACGGCCUCCAGACUGGAUGGACCACUUUGGGUUUCAAUGGCAGGAUGAUUUUUCUGUAAAACAAUGGCUGGCUUUAAAUUUCUUCUUCUAGAACAAACCAAAAAAGAAAAGAAAAAACAAACCACUAAUUCUUAAGGAUGCAUAGGCCCCAGUUGCCUGAUGGUAUGUAGAAAGAAAGAAAGAAAUACAGCGGUAAUGUUCUGGUGAGGGAGCUAGUUUCCUAGGAGUCAAGUAGAAGUUUGCUGUUGACUCCAUGAUUAGCCUACGUCUGAGGUUGUAUCUAUUACUUGCCCAUCAUAUGAAAUAUGCUUUAAUCAAAAGAAACAUCUUAUUGAAACACUCCAUGCCAACAUUACCUUCAGACUUUGCCACCAUAACAUAUACGUUCUUUUUCCAGUUUGCCGCUGGUUGAAAUGACUAAGUGGAAACGGGAGAUGCAGGAAGAAAGUCACCCUCCUAUGAUGAGAGACGGAUGUGUGGGGCCCUAAUGAGGAACCCUUUACUCCAUGAAACCGAGGGAAAGAGCUGCGCUGAGCCACGUCUGGCUGACUCUGCACAGACAAAACGGGGCAGCUCUGCUGGCCACCAAGCCCAUCAGCAGCCAGGUGGUCAGCGAGGAGCAGCUGCCCUGAGGGCUGAUGGUAGGAGGCAGAGAGCCCAGGGCCGAAAGAACAGCGGGCUCAGUGCCCUGCUCCCUCCUUCUCAGCCCCGCCACGGGGAAGCACAGUUUGGCCCCAUUUUCAAAACCACUGUGUUUUAUUUCUAUUGUCCCAAACCCUCUGGCCUUCUUCCUAGAGAACACCAAGAGGAAUGCUCUCACCAGUUUGGUUGAAACCUUAUUUUUUAGUUUGUGCACAUUCAAUGUCACUGUGCUAAGAGUGACCGGAUGCAUUAGUCAGUUUUCAUGCUGCUAAUAAAGACAUACUGGCCCAGCGCAGUGACUCACGCCUGUAAUC
rnacentral:lncRNA from 1 species